UACGAAGGGAGCUAGCGUUGUUCGGAAUCACUGGGCGUAAAGGGCGCGUAGGCGGCUUUAUAAGUCAGUGGUGAAAUGCUCUAGCUUAACUAGAGAGGUGCCAAUGAUACUGCAGGGCUUGAGUACAGAUGAGGUAGGCGGAAUUGACGGUGUAGCGGUGAAAUGCAUAGAUAUCGUCAAGAACACCUAUAGCGAAGGCAGCUUACUGGGCUGUAACUGACGCUGAGGCACGAAAGUGUGGGGAUCAAACAGG
rnacentral:rRNA from 1 species